UACGUAGGGCGCAAGCAUUAUCCGGAAUUAUUGGGCGUAAAGAGCUCGUAGGCGAUUUGUCGCGUCUGCCGUGAAAGUCCGGGGCUCGACUCCGGAUCUGCGGUGGGUACGGGCAGGCUAGAGUGAUGUAGGGGAGACUGGAAUUCCUGGUGUAGCGGUGAAAUGCGCAGAUAUCAGGAGGAACACCGAUGGCGAAGGCAGGUCUCUGGGCUGUUACUGACGCUGAGGAGCGAAAGCAUGGGGAGCGAACAGG
rnacentral:misc_RNA from 1 species